rnacentral:rRNA from 1 species
AAGACCUUGCGCUUUUGGAGCGGCCGAUGUCUGAUUAGCUAGUUGGUGGGGUAAUGGCCUACCAAAGCUUCGAUCAGUAGCUGGUCUGAGAGGACGACCAGCCACACUGGGACUGAGACACGGCCCAGACUCCUACGGGAGGCAGCAGUGGGGAAUUUUGGACAAUGGGCGCAAGCCUGAUCCAGCCAUGCCGCGUGAGUGAAGAAAGCCUUCGGGUUGUAAAGCUCUUUCAGCCGGGAAGAAAAGGCUACGACGAAUAAUCGUAGCUCAUGACGGUACCGGAAGAAGAAGCACCGGCUAACUACGUGCCAGCAGCCGCGGUAAUACGUAGGGUGCGAGCGUUAAUCGGAAUUACUGGGCGUAAAGGGUGCGCAGGCGGUUUUGUAAGUCAGAUGUGAAAUCCCCGGGCUUAACCUGGGAACU